ACUAUAGAUCACGGGUAAGAUUUGGGCUUGCUAAUAACCACCAUAAUCCAUGUCCAUGACCUUAACUUAGUUCUGGGUUUUUUCAGUUCCGGUUCGGUUCAGAAGGACACACCAAUAAAGGAUUUCAAUUCUAACAUAUUCUCUUUUGAUGCAAUCUUAGGUUUUUUCUCUUCUUCUCUCGAAAACAAAGAAAUUUUACUUGGUUAGGGUUUUCAUUUGAGUUGAUCGAAAAUGUCAGGUGCAGCAAGUAUUGUCAAGGCAGUUAAACCAAAACGCUUUCAAGCUGCUGAUAUUCAGACAGCCGCUGGCUGGGGCAUGGUUGCUUUUACUGGAGCUCUUUGGGUUGUCCAGCCAUUUGGGUGGAUAAAGAAGACAUCUAUUGACAAGCCAGAGGAAGCUCAAUGAUUUGAUGAAGGACUCGGCAAAACAGUUUCUGGUCAAUGUAGCUGCUCUUUGUUCUUUUUUCCUGGAAACCCGAUAAAUAGAGAUUUCCCCCUAAUAAUGCAAUGCAACUUGAUUGUUUUUCUUAUUAACUUAUUGGUUGUACUUGGAGGAUUUUGGUGACAACUCUCUAAGAUCAAUAGAGGCUGUCUGGAUAUGUGUUGUUACAAAAUUUGAUUUAUUUUUGUUUCCAUUUAGUGACUUUUGAAUCACUUUGUCUUCAAAUAAUUAUGGCUGUGUCUUCACUUUGUUACAAAA